AGAGUUUGAUCCUGGCUCAGAUUGAACGCUGGCGGUAUGCUUAACACAUGCAAGUCGAACGGAAACGAUACUAGCUUGCUAGUAGGCGUCGAGUGGCGGACGGGUGAGUAACGCGUAGGAAUCUGCCUGAUAGUGGGGGAUAGCCCGAAGAAAUUCGGAUUAAUACCGCAUAAUCUAUUCGUAGUAAAGUGGGGGACUUUCGAGCCUCACGCUAUCAGAUGAGCCUGCGUAAGAUUAGCUAGUUGGUAGGGUAAAAGCCUACCAAGGCUACGAUCUUUAGCUGGUCUGAGAGGAUGAUCAGCCACAUCGGGACUGAGACACGGCCCGAACUCCUACGGGAGGCAGCAGUGGGGAAUAUUGGACAAUGGGGGCAACCCUGAUCCAGCAAUACCGCGUGUGUGAAGAAGGCCUGAGGGUUGUAAAGCACUUUCAAUUGUGAAGAAAAGUUAACGGUUAAUAACCGUUAGCCUUGACGUUAACUUUAGAAGAAGCACCGGCUAACUCCGUGCCAGCAGCCGCGGUAAUACGGAGGGUGCAAGCGUUAAUCGGAAUUACUGGGCGUAAAGCGUGCGUAGGCGGUUUAUUAAGUCAGAUGUGAAAGCCCCGGGCUUAACCUGGGAACUGCAUUUGAAACUGGUCAACUAGAGUAUGGUAGAGGAAGUGGAAUUUCUGGUGUAGCGGUGAAAUGCGUAGAUAUCAGAAGGAACAUCAAUGGCGAAGGCAGCUUUCUGGACCAAUACUGACGCUGAGGUACGAAAGCGUGGGUAGCAAACAGGAUUAGAUACCCUGGUAGUCCACGCCGUAAACGAUGAUAACUAGCCGUUGGGGGGAUUUACCCUUUAGUGGCGAAGCUAACGCGUUAAGUUAUCCGCCUGGGGAGUACGGCCGCAAGGCUAAAACUCAAAGGAAUUGACGGGGACCCGCACAAGCGGUGGAGCAUGUGGUUUAAUUCGAUGCAACGCGAAGAACCUUACCUGGUCUUGACAUCCUGCGAACUUUCUAGAAAUAGAUUGGUGCCUUCGGGAACGCAGUGACAGGUGCUGCAUGGCUGUCGUCAGCUCGUGUCGUGAGAUGUUGGGUUAAGUCCCGUAACGAGCGCAACCCCUAUCCUUAUUUGCCAGCACGUCAUGGUGGGAACUAUAAGGAGACUGCCGGUGAUAAACCGGAGGAAGGCGGGGACGACGUCAAGUCAUCAUGGCCCUUACGACCAGGGCUACACACGUGCUACAAUGGGAAGGACAAAGAGCCGCGAAGCCGCGAGGUGUAGCUAAUCUCAGAAACCUUUUCGUAGUCCGGAUUGGAGUCUGCAACUCGACUCCAUGAAGUCGGAAUCGCUAGUAAUCGUAGAUCAGAAUGCUACGGUGAAUACGUUCCCGGGUCUUGUACACACCGCCCGUCAUACCAUGGGAGUGGGUUGCACCAGAAGUGGCUAGUCUAACUUAGUGAGGACGGUCACCACGGUGUGAUUCAUGACUGGGGUAAAGUCGUAACAAGGUAACC
rnacentral:rRNA from 1 species